UCAAGUUAUUAAGGGUGCAGGGCGGAUGCCUUGGCACUAGGAGCCGAUGAAGGACGUGAUAAGCUGCGAUAAGCUUCGGGGAGUUGCACGUAAACUUUGAUCCGAAGAUUUCCGAAUGAGGAAACUCACUUAGAGUAAUGUCUAAGUAUCAUUAAGUGAAUACAUAGCUUAAUGAGGGGAACUCAGGGAACUGAAACAUCUAAGUACCUGAAGGAAGAGAAAGAAAUUCGAUUCCGUAAGUAGCGGCGAGCGAACGCGGAUUAGCCCAAACUAAUAAAGUUUUCUUUAUUGGGGUUGCGGACAUAUCAUAACGAAGAGGUAUCGUAAUUGAAGAGGUUUGGAAAGACCCACCACAGAAGGUAAUAGUCCUGUAUGUUAAACGAGAAGACUUUAGAUAUGAUCCAGAGUACCACGGGACACGUGAAACCCUGUGGGAAGCAGGAGGGACCACCCUCCAAGGCUAAAUACUACCUAGUGACCGAUAGCGUAUAGUACCGUGAGGGAAAGGUGAAAAGAACCCCGGGAGGGGAGUGAAAUAGAACCUGAAACCCUGCACUUACAAGCUGUGGAAGCACAUUUCUUGUGUGACCGCGUACUUUUUGUAGAACGGGCCAACGAGUUACGUUAAGUAGCAAGGUUAAGCACUUAAGGUGUGGAGCCGUAGCGAAAGCGAGUUUUAACUGAGCGUUCAGUUACUUGACGUAGACCCGAAACCGGGCGACCUACCCAUGAGCAGGAUGAAGCGAAAGUAAAAUUUCGUGGAGGUCCGAACCCACGAGCGUUGAAAAGCUCGGGGAUGACUUGUGGGUAGCGGUGAAAUUCCAAUCGAGCCCGGAGAUAGCUGGUUCUCCCCGAAAUAGCUUUAGGGCUAGCCUCAAGGUGAGAGAUACGGAGGUAGAGCACUGAAUGUCCUAGGGGGUAUUGCACCUACCGAAGACUAUCAAACUCCGAAUGCCGUCAUCUUAUACUUGGGAGUCAGACUGUGGGUGAUAAGAUUCAUAGUCGAAAGGGCAACAGCCCAGAUCGUCAGCUAAGGUCCCUAAAUGUAAGUUAAGUGGUAAAGGAUGUGGGAUUGCACAGACAACCAGGAUGUUGGCUUAGAAGCAGCCACUCAUUCAAAGAGUGCGUAAUAGCUCACUGGUCGAGUGAUCCUGCGCCGAAGAUUUCCGGGGCUAAAACUUACUACCGAAGCUACGGCAUCAGUAAUGAUGGGUAGGGGAGCUUCCCAUACGGGUUGAAGCAUGACCGUAAGGACAUGUGGACAGUAUGGGAGUGAGAAUGUUGGCAUGAGUAGCGAGAUGUGGGUGAGAAUCCCACAGGCCGUAAACCCAAGGUUUCCAGGGAAGGUUCGUCCGCCCUGGGUUAGUCGGGACCUAAGCUGAGGCCGAAAGGCGUAGGUGAUGGACAACAGGUUGAUAUUCCUGUACUACCGAUAACCGUUUGAGAGAAGGGAUGACACAGUAGGAUAAGCUAAGCACACUGUUGGUUAUGUGUGCCCAAGCAUUGAGGCAGUCAAAGUAGGCAAAUCCGCUUUGAUAAUGCUGGGAUGUGAUGGGGAGCGAAAUUUAGUAGCGAAGUAGCUGAUUUCACACUGUCAAGAAAAGUCUCUAUCGAGGUUAAAGGUACCCGUACCGCAAACCGACACAGGUGGGUGAGGAGAGUAUCCUAAGGCCAGCGAGAGAACUGUUGUUAAGGAACUCGGCAAAAUGACCCCGUAACUUAGGGAUAAGGGGUGCCACCAUCAGGUGGCCGCAGAGAAUAGGCCCAAGCGACUGUUUACCAAAAACAUAGGUUUCUGCUAAGUCGCAAGACGAUGUAUAGGAGCUGACGCCUGCCCGGUGCUGGAAGGUUAAGGGGAUCUGUUAGAGCAAUCGAAGCAGUGAACUUAAGCCCCAGUAAACGGCGGCCGUAACUAUAACGGUCCUAAGGUAGCGAAAUUCCUUGUCGGGUAAGUUCCGACCCGCACGAAAGGCGUAACGAUUUGGGCACUGUCUCAACAACAGACUCGGUGAAAUUGUAAUUCCGGUGAAGAUGCCGGAUACCUGCGACAGGACGGAAAGACCCCAUGGAGCUUUACUGUAGCUUGACAUUGGGUCUUGGUACUACAUGUACAGGAUAGGUGGGAGGCUUUGAAACCAGGACGCCAGUUUUGGCGGAGCCAUCCUUGGGAUACCACCCUUGUAGUACUGGGACUCUAACCAUAGGCCAUGAAUCUGGUCUUGGGACACUGUCAGGUGGGCAGUUUGACUGGGGCGGUCGCCUCCCAAAAGGUAACGGAGGCGCUCAAAGGUUCUCUCAGUACGGUCGGAAAUCGUACGUAGAGUGUAAAGGCAAAAGAGAGCUUGAUUGCAAGACAUACAGGUCGAGCAAGGAUGAAAAUCGGACUUAGUGAUCCGGUGGUUCUGCGUGGAAGGGCCAUCGCUCAACGGAUAAAAGCUACCCUGGGGAUAACAGGCUUAUCUCCCCCAAGAGUCCACAUCGACGGGGAGGUUUGGCACCUCGAUGUCGGCUCAUCACAUCCUGGGGCUGUAGUAGGUCCCAAGGGUUGGGCUGUUCGCCCAUUAAAGUGGUACGCGAGCUGGGUUCAGAACGUCGUGAGACAGUUCGGUCCCUAUCCGUCGCAGGCGUAGGAAAUUUGAGAAGACCUGUCCUUAGUACGAGAGGACCGGGAUGGACGUACCUCUGGUGUACCAGUUGUCCUGCCAAGGGCAUGGCUGGGUAGCUAUGUACGGAAUGGAUAAGCGCUGAAAGCAUCUAAGCGCGAAGCCAACUUCAAGAUAAGAUUUCCCACCGCAAGGGUAAGACCCCAGAAAGACUAUCUGGUUGAUAGGUCGAAGGUGUAAGUGCAGCAAUGUAUUUAGCUUAUCGAUACUAAUAGGUCGAGGACUUGACCAA
rnacentral:rRNA from 1 species